AGCGGGUGCGAGCGUUAAUCGGAAUUACUGGGCGUAAAGCGUGCGUAGACGGUUAUUUAAGUCGGGUGUGAAAGCCCCGGGCUCAACCUGGGAAUUGCAUUCGAGACUGAAUAGCUAGGGUACGGUAGAGGGAAGUGGAAUUUCCGGUGUAGCGGUGAAAUGCGUAGAUAUCGGAAGGAACAUCAGUGGCGAAAGCGACUUCCUGGACUAGUACCGACGUUCAGGCACGAAAGCGUGGGGAGCAAACAGGAUUAGAUACCCUGGUAGUCCACGCCAUAAACGAUGAGGACUAGACGUUGGAGGGGUAAGCCUUUCAGUGUCGUAGCUAACGCGCUAAGUCCUCCGCCUGGGGAGUACGGCCGCAAGGUUG
rnacentral:rRNA from 1 species